rnacentral:rRNA from 1 species
CACGUAAGGUGCGAGCGUUGUUCGGAAUCAUUGGGCGUAAAGGGCGUGUAGGCGGUGGCGCAAGCCUGGAGUGAAAGGCAGAAGCUUAACUUCUGGACUGCUCCGGGAACUGGGCUGCUAGAGUCACUGAGGCGCAGCCGGAAUUCCAGGUGUAGGGGUGAAAUCUGUAGAUAUCUGGAAGAACACCGGUGGCGAAGGCGGGCUGCGAGCAGAUGACUGACGCUGAGGCGCGAAGGUGCGGGGAGCAAACAGG